GACGAACGCUGGCGGCGUGCUUAACACAUGCAAGUCGAACGGAAAGGCCCUGCUUUUGUGGGGUGCUCGAGUGGCGAACGGGUGAGUAACACGUGAGUAACCUGCCCUUGACUUUGGGAUAACUUCAGGAAACUGGGGCUAAUACCGGAUAGGAGCUCCUGCUGCAUGGUGGGGGUUGGAAAGUUUCGGCGGUUGGGGAUGGACUCGCGGCUUAUCAGCUUGCUGGUGGGGUAGUGGCUUACCAAGGCUUUGACGGAUAGCCGGCCUGGGAGGGUGACCGGCCACAUUGGGACUAAGGGACGGCCCAGAGUCCUACGGGGGGCAGCGGGGGGAAAUAUUGCACAAUGGGCGGGAGCCUGAUGCAGCGACGCCGCGUGCGGGAUGACGGCCUUCGGGUUGUAAACCGCUUUCGCCUGUGACGAAGCGUGAGUGACGGUAAUGGGUAAAGAAGCACCGGCUAACUACGUG
rnacentral:rRNA from 1 species